GCAGAUAUGGUCUAUCGGUAUGACCUCAGCUUCCCAAGCUGAUGAGGCGGGUUCGACUCCCGUUAUCUGCU
rnacentral:tRNA from 1 species